UCGGGGGUGGUGUAACCGGCAGCACAGGGUCCUUUGGAGUCCCUGGACGAGGUUCGAAUCCUCGCCCCCGAG
rnacentral:tRNA from 1 species